AACCUUACCUGGCCUUGACAUACUAAGAACUUUCCAGAGAUGGAUUGGUGCCUUCGGGAACUUAGAUACAGGUGCUGCAUGGCUGUCGUCAGCUCGUGUCGUGAGAUGUUGGGUUAAGUCCCGCAACGAGCGCAACCCUUUUCCUUAUUUGCCAGCGGGUUAAGCCGGGAACUUUAAGGAUACUGCCAGUGACAAACUGGAGGAAGGCGGGGACGACGUCAAGUCAUCAUGGCCCUUACGGCCAGGGCUACACACGUGCUACAAUGGUCGGUACAAAGGGUUGCUACCUCGCGAGAGGAUGCUAAUCUCAAAAAGCCGACCGUAGUCCGGAUCGCAGUCUGCAACUCGACUGCGUGAAGUCGGAAUCGCUAGUAAUCGCGGAUCAGAAUGCCGCGGUGAAUACGUUCCCGGGCCUUGUACACACCGCCCGUCACACCAUGGGAGUUUGUUGCACCAGAAGUAGGUAGUCUAACCGCAAGGAGGACGCUUACCACGGUGUGGCCGAUGACUGGGGUGAAGUCGUAACAAGGUAAGCGUAGAUGA
rnacentral:rRNA from 1 species